rnacentral:rRNA from 1 species
CCCUUAGAUGUUCUGGGCUGCACGCGCGCUACACUGAAGCGUUCAACGAGUAUUCACCUUGCCCGGGAGGGUUGGGUAAUCUUUUGAAAACGCUUCGUGAUGGGGAUAGAUUAUUGCAAUUAUUAAUCUUCAACGAGGAAUUCCUAGUAAGCGCGAGUCAUCAGCUCGUGCUGAUUACGUCCCUGCCCUUUGUACACACCGCCCGUCGCUCCUACCGAUUGAGUGAUACGGUGAAUAAUUCGGACUGCAGCACUGCUUGGUCUCCAGGCUUUGCAGCGGAAAGUUUAGUGAACCUUAUCACUUAGAGGAAGGAGAAGUCGUAACA